UAUAAGACUGGGAUAACUUCGGGAAACCGGAGCUAAUACCGGAUAACAUUUAGAACCGCAUGGUUCUAAAGUGAAAGAUGGUUUUGCUAUCACUUAUAGAUGGACCCGCGCCGUAUUAGCUAGUUGGUAAGGUAACGGCUUACCAAGGCGACGAUACGUAGCCGACCUGAGAGGGUGAUCGGCCACACUGGAACUGAGACACGGUCCAGACUCCUACGAGAGGCAGCAGUAGGGAAUCUUCCGCAAUGGGCGAAAGCCUGACGGAGCAACGCCGCGUGAGUGAUGAAGGGUUUCGGCUCGUAAAACUCUGUUAUUAGGGAAGAACAAAUGUGUAAGUAACUGUGCACAUCUUGACGGUACCUAAUCAGAAAGCCACGGCUAACUACGUGCCAGCAGCCGCGGUAAUACGUAGGUGGCAAGCGUUAUCCGGAAUUAUUGGGCGUAAAGCGCGCGUAGGCGGUUUCUUAAGUCUGAUGUGAAAGCCCACGGCUCAACCGUGGAGGGUCAUUGGAAACUGGGAAACUUGAGUGCAGAAGAGGAAAGUGGAAUUCCAUGUGUAGCGGUGAAAUGCGCAGAGAUAUGGAGGAACACCAGUGGCGAAGGCGACUUUCUGGUCUGUAACUGACGCUGAUGUGCGAAAGCGUGGGGAUCAAACAGGAUUAGAUACCCUGGUAGUCCACGCCGUAAACGAUGAGUGCUAAGUGUUAGGGGGUUUCCGCCCCUUAGUGCUGCAGCUAACGCAUUAAGCACUCCGCCUGGGGAGUACGACCGCAAGGUUGAAACUCAAG
rnacentral:rRNA from 1 species